GCCUGAGUGGCUCAGUCGGUUGAGCAUCUGACUUCCGCUCAGGUCAUGAUCUCAUGGUUUGUGAGUUCAAGCCCCGCAUCAGGCU
rnacentral:tRNA from 1 species